AACCAUCACAACCCUACUACUCCCCUCUCACCUCACUUCUGCACACCCACACACACUUCGCCCCCUCUUUUCACUUUCCCUCUCCUCAGGAAAUUGCAGCAGCACUCACCUUUAACAAUGUCGCACUUCGGCAGAGCUGGUCCUCCUGACAUUCGCGACACCUACUCUCUCCUCGUCCUCAACAUCACCUUCCGUACUACUGCGGAUGAUUUGUACCCUUUGUUCGAUAGGUAUGGCAAGGUUGUCGAUGUCUUCAUCCCUCGUGACCGCAGAACUGGUGAAUCUCGUGGGUUUGCUUUUGUUCGAUACAAGUAUCAAGAUGAAGCUGCCAAAGCUGUUGAAAAGCUUGAUGGCAAGGUCGUUGAUGGCAGAGAGAUAAUGGUUCAGUUUGCAAAAUAUGGUCCUAAUGCUGAGAAAAUUCAGAAGGGGAGAAUACUAGAGCCAGUCAAGACAAAGGGAAGAUCAAGAAGCCCUCGUCCUAGACAUCGGGAUGACCACAGGGACAGAGAUUAUAGAAGGAGAAGUCGCAGUAGGAGCAGAGACAGGUCUGAUAGAGACAGGUAUCGUGGGAGGGAGAAAGAUUACCGCCGUCGAAGCAGCAGGAGCUACAGUAGAAGUCCAGACCGUCGCAAAGAUGAUGGUAAAGGGAGGUAUGAUGAUGAGAGGCGAAGCCGAAGCAGAUCAUAUGGAAGUGCCUCACCUCGUAGAGCCAGUCCCAGUCCUAGGAGAAGCCCCUCACCAAGGAGAAGCCCCUCACCAAGGGCAUCUCCUAAGGAUGAAAGUCCUAAUGGACGUGCUCGUGAGGAGCGAUCUCCAGCUCCCAGAAGUGCAUCACCACGUGGGCGACCAGCUACUAGGAGUAUAUCGCCACGUGGGCGACCAGCUGAUUCUCGUAGUCAGUCUCCCCGCAAAUCUGAUGUAGAUGAGUAAAGGUCGCUGCACUCGACUAAUGCUAUGAUCAAUGCUUCUAAUGCCAGCUCAGUCUGCCGGAGAGCCUUUUGCAUGUCCAUGUUGUUCAGUGCUUGACUUGAAUUGAAGUGUUUGUUCAAAGUUAGAACUUUCUUAGUUGAAUUCCAUGCUCCUAUCAACUUUUCUUGCACGUGAACUGCUGUAGCUGCGCACGUGAGCUCGUUGCUGUAGCUGCUCACCCUAUUUAUUGCUAGUUUUAGUUUUGGUGUUGAUGAAUCAAUGCCCUACCUUGGACCAUGGUAGCUGAAUGCAGCUGAUUACUUUGACUAUAUCUCUCUACACUAGAGCAUGUGAGCUCGUGAUUGUAGCUGUGUUCCUGAGCUCGUUGCUCUAGCUGCUUGAGGGAUAGAUAUACGUUCGUUAGAUCAAUUAUCCCUGCCUAUGCUGCUGUUGGCUCCUGCUUUAUUGCUUAUUUUCCUGCUGAUUAUACUGGUUCGUGUGAGCCUGUGGCCGUAGAUGACAGAUUGAUAGGCAAUUCGUUUGUAGAUCGUAUGAAUGAUGCUGACUUGCUGCUGGCAGCACCUGAUUUAUUGCCUUGCCUUUCGCGGUUGAUGACUAAAUUCCUGCAUUUGAUUCCCUUGCUGAUUUCAGCUAUCAACUUGGAGUAGUUCGUUGUUGUCUUCCAUUUUGAUUUACUAUUAAAGCCUGAUGAUAUUUUUUAGUAGGAAGGUUUGCUUUACUUGGUCGCGUUUAAUUGCAUAAUUUUGUCAAUCUACACUGGUAAAAUUUGUACCAUAUGUUAACAGCAAUUGACAAACAAAAGUUUAUAGUAUUCCUUGCUUACAUUGGAAUUUAAGAGAAUUUUGCGUUCU